rnacentral:lncRNA from 11 species
UCCUCAAGAAGAUAGGAGGGAUGUCCAGUAAUCAAACUAAGUGUGAAUGUGCACAGCAUAAAACUGUUAUAUGAUUGCUUAUCCUCAAAUUAAAAGAACAGAUUGCUUUUUCUACAACAAUAGAGUUGAUGUGGAAGAGAAAUAACAACAACAGAAGUUUCAGCAUUUUGAAAAAUUGCUACAACCCAGUGAGGUCAAGACAAGAUCAGAAAUGGACCCUAUACCCUCUAAAGUUAUACUUGG